CGAACUAUUUUCAGAUGUCUGACAGCUAGCCUGGCUUCCUCUGAAAGCAGAGAGAGAAAAUAAAACCUCCAGCUUCCCCCUGAGUGAAAUUAAAUAAAAGACAAGGGGACCAGAGGAAGAGACAGGAAUCGGUGGCGAGGAAAAGCCUCCACAUCCUAGUCUGAAGGGACAUCUCCAGGAGCGAGGGGAUGAGCCGUGGUGAUUCAUAUAGUUUCCAAGGAAACUGGAAUUUCAUGAGCCAGUUGAAAAGCAUCAGAUGAAACAAGCCCGUGGCCCUGCCUUGGGAUCGCACUCUUCCAGAUUCACCAUAGAAAACAUUCUAUCAGCAUGCAUCACAACGUGGUUUGGUAAUUGUUCUUCCCAAGACUUCAAGGAACUGCACAGCCAUGAACACAGCCCAAUCCAUCACACAACCUAGCUUUACAUCCAUUGGCUCCAUCUAAACAUCCCGCUGCCUCGCAUGUACUAGGAAUACACAAGUACAAUGAAAAGUGCACAAAGUCACCAUUCACUGCUGCUCACUUGGUUAUAAAAAAAGUAUUAAAAGAUAUUAACUGAGCCAAAAGGCAAACAAGAAAACAACUCCAGAUCUUAAAGUCCCAAGUUCCAUCUCCAGAACGGUGCAGGUGCUGCUCCAACGGGUAAGACAACCAGAAAGCCCCAUUGCCAUACAAAAGGCCCACUCUCGCCGCUGAAUGCAGCUGCCUCACCGACCCGCUCUCGCCACCGCUGCCUCACCAAUCUUCUAUUGCCGCCAAACUGGUCCAGUCUUGGUCUGCUGCCGUCGCUCUGGCCCACAAUUGAUCUGUUGUCACCACAGGACACAGCCCGAGAAGAAGAGGAGAAAAAGGAAAGCAAAGGAAUAUGGCAAGCAAAGUGCAGCUCCAAAUGCAGCAACUUACCCUGCUGCUAUCUUGCCGGAAUGACCCGUCGCACCUGGUUGUACUCUCUUCCACCCUCUUCCAUCAGGCAGAAGACAUAAAACAGUACAGAUUCAAGAAUAGCUGUUUCCCAGCUGUUAUUAGACUUCUGAGUGGACCUUUCAAGUUUUAAAUUUAAUGUUGAUCUCAUUGUAUUCCUCGCUCCGUACCCUAAUGCACUUUGUAUGGUAUA